AUGUUGGCUUAGAAGCAGCCAUCAUUUAAAGAGUGCGUAAUAGCUCACUAGUCGAGUGACACUGCGCCGAAAAUGUACCGGGGCUAAACAUAUUACCGAAGCUGUGGAUUGUCCUUUGGACAAUGGUAGGAGAGCGUUCUAAGGGCGUUGAAGCAUGAUCGUAAGGACAUGUGGAGCGCUUAGAAGUGAGAAUGCCGGUGUGAGUAGCGAAAGACGGGUGAGAAUCCCGUCCACCGAUUGACUAAGGUUUCCAGAGGAAGGCUCGUCCGCUCUGGGUUAGUCGGGUCCUAAGCUGAGGCCGACAGGCGUAGGCGAUGGAUAACAGGUUGAUAUUCCUGUACCACCUAUAAUCGUUUUAAUCGAUGGGGGGACGCAGUAGGAUAGGCGAAGCGUGCGAUUGGAUUGCACGUCUAAGCAGUAAGGCUGAGUAUUAGGCAAAUCCGGUACUCGUUAAGGCUGAGCUGUGAUGGGGAGAAGACAUUGUGUCUUCGAGUCGUUGAUUUCACACUGCCGAGAAAAGCCUCUAGAUAGAAAAUAGGUGCCCGUACCGCAAACCGACACAGGUAGUCAAGAUGAGAAUUCUAAGGUGAGCGAGCGAACUCUCGUUAAGGAACUCGGCAAAAUGACCCCGUAACUUCGGGAGAAGGGGUGCUCUUUAGGGUUAACGCCCAGAAGAGCCGCAGUGAAUAGGCCCAAGCGACUGUUUAUCAAAAACACAGGUCUCUGCUAAACCGUAAGGUGAUGUAUAGGGGCUGACGCCUGCCCGGUGCUGGAAGGUUAAGAGGAGUGGUUAGCUUCUGCGAAGCUACGAAUCGAAGCCCCAGUAAACGGCGGCCGUAACUAUAACGGUCCUAAGGUAGCGAAAUUCCUUGUCGGGUAAGUUCCGACCCGCACGAAAGGCGUAACGAUUUGGGCACUGUCUCAACGAGAGACUCGGUGAAAUCAUAGUAC
rnacentral:rRNA from 1 species